GGAGGCGUGUCAGAGUGGUCUAAUGUGCCUCUUUGCUAAAGAGGUGUCCGGGUUAAACUGGACCGGAGGUUCGAAUCCUCCCGCCUCCGCCA
rnacentral:tRNA from 1 species